rnacentral:rRNA from 1 species
AUUGAACGCUGGCGGCAGGCCUAACACAUGCAAGUCGAACGAGUGGCGGACGGGUGAGUAAUGUCUGGGAAACUGCCUGAUGGAGGGGGAUAACUACUGGAAACGGUAGCUAAUACCGCAUACCAUCGGAUGUGCCCAUAUGGGAUUAGCGAGUAGGUGGGGUAAAGGCUCACCUAGGCGACGAUCCCUAGCUGGUCUGAGAGGAUGACAAGCCACCAUGGAACUGAGACACGGCCCAGCCGCCUACGGGAGGCAGCAGUGGGGAAUAUUGCACAAUGGGCGGAAGCCUGAUGCAGCCAUGCCGCGUGUGGGAAGAAGGCCUUCGGGUUGUAAAGCACUUUCAGCGGGGAGGCGUUACCCGCAGAAGAAGCACCGGCUAACUCCGUGCCAGCAGCCGCGGUAAUAC